rnacentral:sRNA from 1 species
UUUGGGGGAGAGACAUCAUCAAAGUAGGUUUGUGUGCGUGUGCAUGUGUGCGGGUGUACGUGUGUUCACCUUCCCACCCGCUGAAACUUCAGAUGCAGUGAAGCCUUCUCACAUAAAGCAAUAUACCUUAACUGGGCAUAUUGCUCUGUGGCAUUCAAAAGUAUUUUGUAAAUUCUGGUCACUUGAGGGCUUCUUGGAAUCAGGAUUUUGUCUAGUCUGUGAGUACUUCUGCCAGUUCCUGAAACAUGGGCUGCUGUGCCUGCUUCCCAGGUGCCGAGCUGUUUCCUUCAACCAUGGUCACCCUUUGUCUCACCAUCUGAAAGGACACACAUUUCAUGUGGAGUGUGGUCGCUUGGAGUCUCUCAAAAACACUCUUUUUUUCCCAUAACUUUAUGUAGUUUCUUAGGUAACAUGUGCUCUAUUUUUGUAAGCCACUCUGAGUUCUUUUGGGCUGUGUGUAGGUGGGCAUGGACUAAUUUUAGAGCAUGAUGUGGAAAUAGUAUUUGUAUUACUAUUUAAUAUGUUUUCCUUUCUUUUAUUAGGCAAGAAAAAGUCAUAUUUCCCACGUUGUUCAUGGGGCAGUAAACGGCUUUGACCCCGCUCCUCCUCCUCCUGGUCUGGGCUCCUCGCGUCCAUCGUCAGCGCCGGGUAUGCUGCCUCUCAGUGUGUGAGUGCCCAGCCUCCAGGUGGGGGCUCCUGCCCUCCUCCAACAACCCAGGACACCCACGCCUCACCCCUCGGUGCCUGGGCCCAGCCCCGUGCCCCUCCGUCUGCCUCCGCACAGCUGGCAGAGGGCAGGCUGCAUGCAGUGGCGGCUACUGGGCCCUGCCCAGCCCCGGAACUCUGCGCGAUAUCAAUACUGGCUAUUUUCUCUUCUCGCCGUAGUGCCGUUGGUUUCACAUGAUUGCACUUUUGUGGGUCGCAAGGUGAUACAUACAUGUAUUACUUGGUCACUGGAUGCAGAAGUACCCAUUCAUCACACCUGCCUCAUAGACCCCACUCUGCUGUACUGAUAGGAUUUAGUUGUGUUUAGGACAUUGCAAAUCUUCUAGAAGUUCUCCCCCAAAUCAGGUCAAUGUGUGCCCUCCUGAGCUCCCUCCCACCCAGGCAUCUCCAGUGCUCAUGAUCAUGUGUCCCCCAACUCCACCCCUCACAGUUUGGGCCUGUUUCUGGCAAAGAGUCAGGAAGGUUACUGAAUUAGGGAACAUUUUCUGCACCUUCUGAUUUUACUUAAGCAGCUACCAUUCCAUGGACUUGCCUCCCAGAGCAGCACAAUGCCCGUCUGAGCCCCACGUGGCAAGAGCCUCUGGGACGGGGCACACACAGGCCCAGCCUCUGUGCUGUCUCCUCCUCCGUGCGCCUCAGACUCGGGGUGAGGGAGGCGGGCAGCCUCUCGCCAGCCUUCCCGUCCUUCAGUUCAACGACAUCUUUGGAGUGUUUUUGUUUUCUCUUCCAAGGGCCGUCCCGUUGUGUUAGGAAGGGUGAGUGGCUGGUUCCAGGGUGGGCCGGUGCCAGCUCCGGGGUGGACUGAACAGCGGCGGCUGUCCCUGUGCAUCCUUUGAUUACUCUCAUGCUGCAUUUACUGUUUACAUUUGUUUUAUUGUACAUAGGUUUGUAAACAUUAUUGCCUGAGAUAUUUGUAUAUAACUUGGGCUUUGUAGCUUUUAUUUAUUCAGAACGCAUAUGGCAUGUUAAUGACUCUGAUGGUGUCCUCCUCUGGGCAGCUGUAUAGGAUCAUCAUGUGGUUACAAAAAAUACUUCCCUCAAAAAAAGUCUUUUAAUGUGGAAACAAUAAAUUUCACAG